CGUUUCUUAACUCCCGUACUGCGGAAGUACUUUUUUUGUGUGUGUGUGUUGCUGACGGCAAACUGGUGACUCGUGGUCACGGGGCGGCAGCUUCGAUCGCACAUGGCAGACUACAAAGGGGUUGUGUUUCAGAUCGCAAAGCCGCAAAACGGUUCACAAAUAUAUUCAGAACACACUAUGCAGUGGUUUUGGUUGGACAGUUGGAAAAACCUGCUGAUGAGAGAGGUUGGAGGUUGGCCCUUCCGUGGUGAUGAAGAUGGAUCCAAGGACCCAGAUAGUGGGUGCACAUUUACAUUCCUGAAUUUGAUGUGCAGAAGACAGAUGAUCUGUCAGUAUACUCAGUUGAACUGUUGGCAAAACAUUUACAUUUGAGUCCUUUAAUAAUAAUUUUUUUAAUCAGCUCGGGGGCUUGAACUUGCAACCUUCCGGUUACUAGUCCAACACUAAUCACUAGGCUACCAUUUAGCAAAGCAACUUACAGGAGUAAUUGGGGUUAAAGGCACAUAAGAUUUUCCACCUAGUCGGCUUGAAGAUUCAAACCAGCAACCAUUCGGUUACUGGCCCAACACUCUUAACCACUAACUGCCUGCCACCCUAGUUGCCCUCCAGUGGGUGGAGGACGUACAACCUGUGUAGAAUUAUAGUAUGAUCAUAUUCUCUGUCUGUAUCAAAUAGUUUAUCACCUGGUCAAUCUAAUAGGAGUGACCUACUAUUGGAGGUAUUCAUGUUAUCAUGGAGAAUGGAGAGACUGGGUGUAGUAGUGAGAUACUGUUGGGUCCCAAUACAUUUGGGAAUAAAAUUGUAGACCAGUUAGCCAAAAGAGCUUUAAAACUAGAUAUAAUUGAUAUUAGUGUUCCACUGGGUAGAGGUGAGGCCAAAUGUAAGAUCAGAGCAAUUUUGAUAGAUGUGUGGCAGAAGAAAUUGGAUUUGGAGCCCAAGGGCCGGCAUUUAUAUGCCCUCCAAGAAAGGUUGGUGGACCAAGAUUCUAAGGUCAGAUUAGGAAGGAAGAGGUGGUGUUUUCUCGACUGCGCCUAGGACAGUGUUGGGCCAGUAACUGAAAGGUUGCUAGAUCAAACCCCUGAGCUGACAAGGUAAAAAUCUGUUGUUCUACCCCUGAACAAGACAGUUAACCCACUGUUCCCCAGUAGGCCGUCAUUGUAAAUAAGAAUUUGUUCUUAACUGACUUGCCUAGUUAAAUGAUUUUUUUUUUUACAUUGAACUGGUCAUUACAUCUGGUUGGCAACAUGUGAAUGGUUUGUGUCUGGAGUGUAUGGUCAAUGAAACGAUGGAGCAUGUAUUGUUGUAAGUAUGUUGAAGAGAGGGAAAGACUGAAGGGUUGGAGAGGUUUGGAAGGGGGAUGAGGGAGGUUUUUUGUAGAAGUUAGUAGGGCUCUUUUUUACUUCUUUUUUCUCAGAAGUACUGAGUUAGGUAGGAGGAUUUAGAAAUGUUGUGAUUGACCAGACACUCCAGCACAAUAGGUGGGGGUCAAACACCUUUUAACGUUUGUUUGCGGACCCCCGUUAUAUCAUAGAAGAAUAACAAGCCCGUCUGAGUUCUUAUUUGUUCUUGAACACAGCUCAUAUUCUGUGUUUACAUUGGCGAAGUCUUCCCCCCCUACCCUGUCUUUCAAGUGGCCGUUUUUCCAAAUGACCCCGUCGUUUCAACAAGUGGUUAGAUGGAGAGAAAAUAUAUCAAGUGCUUAUAGUUAGUUAGCGCGUAGAUUUAUCAAAAGCAGAGUGGGUAGACACUUUCUGUCGAUGUGCACAAGACUAACUAACUAACUUAACUAGCCCAUUUCGCCUGCUGGGUUCUUCUAGAUGUAGCGAACUAACGUUAAGUAGCUCAAUCUAGUCAACAAACAUUCAACACUGAAAGUAAACAUUUUGAUUUCCUUACUCAAAUAUGGGGAUGUGUUUACCGUGCCAUGGUGGAUCUGGAAACGACUUGUCCCCCACACCAGAUCGAGAGACAAGGAGAAGUCAGCUGACAGAGACAGCUGAGCAGAGACAGAAAGAGAAAUUCUUCAGUCAAAGCCAAUUGUAUCCAACCCAUAAAGCAUGUCGGCCUACUAAAGCAUCGAGACAACCUCCAGGGGCGUCAAAAACCCCCAAGCAGUUGAGAGAAAUAAAAAGAAUAAGGAGAUGGAGAAACAAGAGAUGAGACCGUCUCCACCUGGAGGAGGAGGAGGAGGAGGGCUGAAGGUAGGCUAAAGAUGGACAUGGAGAGAUCCUGGAAGUCUCAAUCUAGACUGAGGUUCAGCUAACAACAUGAAGAGUGUUGGUACCAGUUGACUUGAAAAGGCUUUUUUUGGGUGUUGGCCCUUCUACUACAUUUUUUAAAUAUUUUUAAAUGCAAGCUUAUUUUUUUAGAGGGGAUUGUUUGCCAGGCUUCGACACUGGUAAAUGAAUAAAGAUUCUACUGCCCAAUGUUGGCAGUGUGAAUCACAGGACAUGCCUCCCUUAAUGCCAAGAUAUACAAGAGAAUAUGCAAGCCAGCCAAUGGAGCUUUGGAACAGACAGGCUGGCAUAGCUAUGAAUAGAAUAUACACACUCAGAGGAAAUAUGCUCACACUACAUCUAUAAACUGUACCAGGCAUCUUGCCUCUCUCUUUGUCCUCUCUCCUCACGCUCCUCCUUCUUUCUCUCAGCCAUUUCAACUUGGCCAGCUUUAACACCAUGGUGCUUACUUCUUCUGAGGAAUAUUCUCAUUAUUGUGACCUAUUUACUGUAUAGUACAUUUUCCUUCUAAAAUGAUUUUAUGCAACAAAGUCCUUUAAUGUUCAAAAUAGGCCUAGAUGAUUCAAAUGACGUUUUCAUGCACCAGCACUAUUCAGUUUACUUGUCUAUUGUAGAUCAGUGUGAAAAGAACUACAUUUCCCAUAGCUACUGAUGAACCACGUGAUGUUUUAGAGUUCAUGCACCAGCACUAUUCAGUUUACUUUUCUAUUGUAGAUCAGUGUGAAAAGAACUACAUUUCCCAUAGCUACUGAUGAACCACGUGAAUGUUUUAGAGUUCAUGCACCAGCACUAUUCAGUUUACUUUUCUAUUGUAGAUCAGUGUGAAAAGAACUACAUUUCCCAUAGCUACUGAUGAACCACGUGAUGUUUUAGAGUUCAUGCACCAGCACUAUUUGUUUGUAUGUAUCUACUCGGAUUUUGAAAAUACAAACUAACUUUCUGUUUUGUCUGCUUGGACUCAAGAGACAAGUAUAGUCGCGUUAAUCUUUUUUUGCAAGCAGUCGUGUUCUUUCGAUGAAUGUAUUUGCAAUUUGAACGGUAUAAUAUAAUUUUGAUGAAUGCAUUUUACGUUUUAAAAAGACAACUACAUUUUGAAAAUCCAUGUACUGUUUUGCAACAGCUCUCUCUGUUUUAUGGACGCUGUUUUGACAACCUUGUUCCAAAAAAACCGAAUGGUUUAGACCGUUGUUCCCUGAUUUAAAUAGUUUAAGAGUACAGGUGCCAUGAGGGACAGAAAUGCUGACAGCACCUGGUAUUCCCAGGCAGUCUCCCAUCCUAGGACUAACCAGGCCUGACCUUGCUUAGCUUCCGAGACCGGGCGUAUUGUAUUGUAAUGUGUAUAUAUGAUGCACGUAAACACUUCACUGUACCGUUUACACCCUGUAUCCUGUGCACGUGACAAAUAAACGUUGAUGAUGAUCAACUCACCAUUC